AUUGAACGCUGGCGGCAUGCCUUACACAUGCAAGUCGAACGGUAACAGGUCUUCGGAUGCUGACGAGUGGCGAACGGGUGAGUAAUACAUCGGAACGUGCCUAGUAGUGGGGGAUAACUACUCGAAAGAGUGGCUAAUACCGCAUGAGAUCUACGGAUGAAAGCAGGGGAUCGCAAGACCUUGUGCUACUAGAGCGGCCGAUGGCAGAUUAGGUAGUUGGUGGGAUAAAAGCUUACCAAGCUGACGAUCUGUAGCUGGUCUGAGAGGACGAUCAGCCACACUGGGACUGAGACACGGCCCAGACUCCUACGGGAGGCAGCAGUGGGGAAUUUUGGACAAUGGGCGCAAGCCUGACCCAGCAAUGCCGCGUGCAGGAUGAAGGCCUUCGGGUUGUAAACUGCUUUUGUACGGAACGAAAAGCCCUGGGUUAAUACCCUGGGGUCAUGACGGUACCGUAAGAAUAAGCACCGGCUAACUACGUGCCAGCAGCCGCGGUAACAC
rnacentral:rRNA from 1 species